rnacentral:rRNA from 1 species
UACGUAGGGAGCGAGCGUUGUCCGGAAUGACUGGGCGUAAAGGGCGUGUAGACGGUUUUAUAAGUCUGGAGUGAAAGUCCCUUUUUCAAGGAGGGAAUUGCUUUGGAGACUGUAGGACUUGAGUGCGGAAGAGGUAAGUGGAAUUCCCAGUGUAGCGGUGAAAUGCGUAGAGAUUGGGAGGAACACCAGUGGCGAAGGCGACUUACUGGGCCGUAACUGACGUUGAGGCGCGAAAGCGUGGGGAGCGAAC